rnacentral:tRNA from 1 species
GGGGAUGUAGCUCAGAUGGUAGAGCGCUCGCUUAGCACACGAGAGGUACGUGGAUCGAUAACCCCGCAUUUCCA